rnacentral:rRNA from 1 species
UGGGGAAUAUUGGACAAUGGGCGAAAGCCUGAUCCAGCCAUGCCGCGUGUGUGAAGAAGGUCUUCGGAUUGUAAAGCACUUUAAGUUGGGAGGAAGGGUAGUAACUUAAUACGUUGCUAUUUUGACGUUACCGACAGAAUAAGCACCGGCUAACUUCGUGCCAGCAGCCGCGGUAAUACGAAGGGUGCAAGCGUUAAUCGGAAUUACUGGGCGUAAAGCGCGCGUAGGUGGUUCAGUAAGUUGGAUGUGAAAUCCCCGGGCUCAACCUGGGAACUGCAUCCAAAACUGCUGAACUAGAGUACGGUAGAGGGUGGUGGAAUUUCCUGUGUAGCGGUGAAAUGCGUAGAUAUAGGAAGGAACACCAGUGGCGAAGGCGACCACCUGGACUGAUACUGACACUGAGGUGCGAAAGCGUGGGGAGCAAACAGG